CUGAGAGGAUGACCAGCCACACUGGAACUGAGACACGGUCCAGACUCCUACGGGAGGCAGCAGUGGGGAAUAUUGCACAAUGGGCGCAAGCCUGAUGCAGCCAUGCCGCGUGUAUGAAGAAGGCCUUCGGGUUGUAAAGUACUUUCAGCGGGGAGGAAGGGAGUAAAGUUAAUACCUUUGCUCAUUGACGUUACCCGCAGAAGAAGCACCGGCUAACUCCGUGCCAGCAGCCGCGGUAAUACGGAGGGUGCAAGCGUUAAUCGGAAUUACUGGGCGUAAAGCGCACGCAGGCGGUUUGUUAAGUCAGAUGUGAAAUCCCCGGGCUCAACCUGGGAACUGCAUCUGAUACUGGCAAGCUUGAGUCUCGUAGAGGG
rnacentral:rRNA from 2 species